CGUGCCAGAUAAUAAGGUGAAAGAAAAAUUGUGAAAAAGAAAAGCUAACGAAAAGAAUAAAAAAUUAAAUCGAAUUCAACUCAGAGUAAUAUCUACAGGGUGAGUAAAACGAAAGCUUCGGAAGGGGUUUGACUUGUCGUUAGUUGCCGCGUGCCCGGCGGAAAACCCUUCGAUCGAAGAGAUUUUAUUGUCAGGCGGAUCCGCGAUCGAAAUACCGUCCCAAAUGUGACGUCGCAGGAAGAGAAUCGGAGCUGUACGAAUCGUACGACGGACGACGCUGGCGACAAAUAAUAACCAAUCAGGAGCCCGGCGUCGCCCCACCGAAUAUUGAUCAGUCCGAGGAUUUAUCGAAAUUCCGUCUCUUCUGUGCUCGACCGUCGAUCCGACUGCGCGAUCCGAGUGGCUCCGGUUCGCCUGUCGUCUAGUGCUGUUCUUUUCUUAUUCCUCCCCCCCCCCCCCCAGUAUUUCUUCAACUUAUUGUUAGCUUCAUUCUGUGUUUCUUUCUAUUUUUAAUUCCCCUAUCGCUUCUUGCAUUUAAAAAUUUGUGUGCUUCUGUGACCGCAUUCUUCUUCCUAUAAGGUGGCACUUCCUGCGACGGUGAGGGCGUUGGGACCUUCAGGGGUGCGCAGGGGUGACGACGUUUCGAAGACGGACGCUGCACACGGCUUACGUCAACGAGCGAACGCAGCAGCGGCGGCGGCGGCAUUCUCGUAGUCCAAAAGAAGGUUCGAGGCUCGCGAUUACGAUUAGAGAUUUCCGCAGCAGCCUAUAAACGUUGGCGCAGGGAAUUACAGAGCAUCGAAUGGCGAAGGGGGUGGGGCGUGAGGCCAGGGCUCGGUGAGGUACAGAGAAAACGAUCAGGAAGAUGACGACGCAGAUUAUGACGAUCGCCAGCAGAAUCGCCACCGCCACGAUGAUCACGAUCAACAAGAGAUCUCCGUCGAGCCUCUGGUACCACGGGAGGUUACCUGUCGAA